rnacentral:lncRNA from 1 species
GAGAUUCAAACAAGUUUAUCUUUGAUUGUAAAUUAUUUUGAAUUGUCGAUUAUUGUGACUUAUAAUACUUUUUACAUAGUUUAUAAAUAUAUAAAUUUCAUUUCAAAAAAAAUAAAAAUUCCACGUGCAUAUUUCCGAUCAAAUUUAAACUGUUUUGACUCUCGAAAAAAAAAAAAUGUCACAUAAAUUGAAACAGAGGUAGUAAAUCAUUAAUCUUAAAGAAUUAAGUGAUUGAAAUUCAAUAUUUAUUGAGAGCAUACUUUCUUUUAAUUAUAAUACAUGGAUUUUUAUUGUUGCGCAGUUAUGUAGUGGCAUCAUAUGCUAGGUUCCUGUGGGAUGCUGAAGAGACUGAGGAGGAAUUGAAGUAAAAGAGCUAAGUGGAAUUAUAGUAUGCACGGAUUCCUACCUCGUGAAGAUGGAGAAGUUGUUUUCGAAAGAUACUUAAAAACUAGUCACUCGUCAAAUUAAAUGAACACUUUAAGUUUAAAAAAAUCACAAUUCGAAAGGCAAUAAUGCACGAGGUCGAAUGAAUAUUAAAAAAAUUAUCAUUAUUCGAAUCAUAGUGGAUGAAUUCGAUCAUAAUGGUUUUUGGUUACUUUUAAUUGGACUUUUUAAAACAUGUGAAAUUUAUUUUUCGAAAUUAUGAUCAAAUUAAAAGUUUGAACUCUCAUAAUCUAAAUUUUUUCACAUAAAUGGAAAAGAGGGAGUGUAUGCAAUCCUUUAUUGGGCUCUAGAAAGUGGAAAUUCAUCCUUAAAUAAACUGGCAAAAUAUGGGCCUGACCGAUGACUGUUUCUGAGCCAAUUGUGACAAUUAAGUCCUACUCCAGAUUGUCUUUUUAUUUUCUUCUUUUUCUGCUGGUUAUUAUUUUUUUGUCCGUCUAGAUAUGUGAUAUGAAAUCAAAUAAAUAUGUAGUUGAAUUUUAUUUAGAUAUGCAAUUUGGAUUUCUUAAUUAUUUUUUCUCAUAGUCACAAAACCUUCACAAGAUAUACAUUGAAAUUUCUCCAAUUCUUAUAGAAUCGUAUCAAAUGAAUGAACUAUAAUACCAUAAUCCAUAAAUAGGAUAUCAAAAUAUCCUAGGCCAUCACAUUGAUUAAUCAUAUAUUUUCAUGUUCAUUUUAUUAAAAAAAUAUUUUACAAAUUUUCAAAUAUAUAUAAUUUUAUAAAAAAAAUAACAAGUUUAAAAUCUCAAAUCAUGCUUUGGAGAAUUUAAAUAUGAAACUAUAUUUAAAAUCAUAAUUUAUCAUAUAAAAUUGUAUACAUAAACGCAUACUUAAAAGAACCAAUAAGAAAAUCUUUGUUAAGAUCUAAACCACACCCCAUAUGCAGUGGCGGAGCCACAUUAUCAUUAGGGGUUCGUCCGAACCCCCUUCAGCGGAAAAUUAUAUUAUUUUUGUAUAGUUAAAAUAAUUUUUUAGGUAUAUAUAGUAGAUGUCGAAUCUCCUUCGGCUACUUCGUGUGUCUAUUUCUUCAAUUUUUGAACCCCUUACUGAUAAUUCUGUCUCCGUCACUACCCAUAUGAACUCUCAAACUUGUUUAUACGCUAUAUAUAUCAAAAAAAAAUUCCUUUUUAGUCUAUCCCAAUCAAACUGUCACCUUAUUAUAAUUAAAAAUAAUUUAACUUUAAAAUAUUCAUUUAAAUUCUUAAUAAAAUGAUUUUCAACUACAUAAUUAUUUUAAACGAUAAAUUCUAAUAUUUAUUUUAUAAAAAUACCGUAACAAAUCAAUAAAAUUAAAUGAACACUUUAAGUUUAAAAAAAUUAAAUGAACACUUUAAGUUUAAGAUGCAUCUCGUGCCAAUGCUUAUUUUGAUCAAGCUGUUAAAUUUGACCCUCAUGAUUGGUAUAAACCUUUUUAAAAAUAAUUACUCUGUUUCAAUUUACGUGACACUUUUCGGAUUUCGAGAUUCAAAUAAGUUUAUCUGUGAUCGUAAAUUUAUCAUAUAUCUUUUAAUUAUUUUGAAUUACUGAUUAUUGUGAUUUAUAAUACUUUUUACGUAGUUUACAAAUUUAUAAAUUUCAUUUCAAAAAAAUAGAAAAUUCCACAUGUAAAUUUCUGGUCAAAUUUAAACUGUUUUGACUCUCGAAAAAUAAAAAAUGUCACAUAAAUUGAAACUGAAAGAGUAAAUCAUUAAUCUUAAGGAAUUAAGUGAUUGAAAUUCAAUAUUUAUUGAGAGCAUACUUUCUUUUAAUUAUAAUACAUGGAUUUUUAUUGUUGCGCAGUUAUGUAGUGGCAUCAUAUGCUAGGUUCCUGUGGGAUGCUGAAGAGACUGAGGAGGAAUUGAAGUAAAAGAGCUAAGUGGAAUUAUAGUAUGCACGGAUUCCUACCUCGUGAAGAUGGAGAAGUUGUUUUCGAAAGAUACUUAAAAACUAGUCACUCGUCAAAUUAAAUGAACACUUUAAGUUUAAAAAAAUCACAAUUCGAAAGGCAAUAAUGCACGAGAUCGAAUAAAUAU